AGCAGCCGCGGUAAUUCCAGCUCCAAUAGCGUAUAUUAAAGUUGUUGCAGUUAAAAAGCUCGUAGUUGAAUUUCGAGAUCAAAUUGUUGGUCGUGCCUUGGUACGUACUGGCAUUAUUGGUUUCUCCCUUCUGAAGAACCAUGAUGUCAUUAAUUUGGUGUCAUGGGGAAUCAGGACUGUUACUUUGGAAAAAUUAGAGUGUUUAAAGCAGGCUCGCGCUUGAAUACAUUAGCAUGGAAUAAUGAAAUAGGACGUUUAAUUCUAUUUUGUUGGUUUCUAGGAUUGACGUAAUGAUUAAUAGGGAUAGUUGGGGGCAUUAGUAUUCAAUUGUCAGAGGUGAAAUUCUUGGAUUUAUUGAAGACUAACUACUGCGAAAGCAUUUGCCAAGGAUGUUUUCAUUAAUCAAGAACGAAAGUUAGGGGAUCGAAGACGAUCAGAUACCGUCGUAGU
rnacentral:rRNA from 1 species